CAGAGGAAGGUGGGGAUGACGUCAAGUCCUCAUGGCCCUUACGCCUAGGGCUACACACGUACUACAAUGGACGGCACAAAAGGACGCUAACCCGUGAGGCAGAGCUAAUCGGAAAAAACCAUCCUCAAUUCAGAUUGGAGUCUGCAACUCGACUCUAUGAAGCUGGAAUCGCUAGUAAUCGUGGAUCAGCAUGCCGCGGUGAAUACGUUCCCGGGCCUUGUACACACCGCCCGU
rnacentral:rRNA from 1 species